rnacentral:rRNA from 1 species
UACGUAGGAGGCAAGGCGUUGUCCGGAAUCACUGGGCGUAAAGCGCGUGUAGGCGGAUCGCUAAGUCUGUGGUGAAAGCGCCCUGGCUUAACCGGGCGAGGUCCAUGGGAAACUAGCGGUCUGGAGGCCCGGUAGAGGGGGGUGGAAUUCCGGGUGUAGUGGUGAAAUGCGUAGAGAUCCGGAGGAACACCAGUGGCGAAGGCGAGUCCCUGGACAACACCUGACACUGAGGCACGAAAGCUAGGGGAGCAAACAGG